rnacentral:rRNA from 1 species
CCUACGGGGGGCAGCAGUGAGGAAUAUUGGUCAAUGGACGCAAGUCUGAACCAGCCAAGCCGCGUGCAGGAAGACGGCUCUAUGAGUUGUAAACUGCUUUUGUACGAGAGUAAACGGAGAUACGCGUAUCUGUCUGAAAGUACCGUACGAAUAAGGAUCGGCUAACUCCGUGCCAGCAGCCGCGGUAAUACGGAGGAUUCAAGCGUUAUCCGGAUUUAUUGGGUUUAAAGGGAGCGUAGGCGGACGGAUAAGUUAGAGGUGAAAGUCCGAGGCUCAACAUCAGAAUUGCAUCUGAUACUGGUCGUCUUGAGUAUAGUUGCGGUAGGCGGAAUGUAUGGUGUAGCGGUGAAAUGCUUAGAGAUCAUACAGAACUCCGAUUGCGAAGGCAGCUUACCAAGCUACUUCUGACGUUGAGGCUCGAAAGUGUGGGGAGCAAACAGGAUUAGAUACCCCAGUAGUC